GGGAGGUUAAAGGUGCUGAUUCUCCAAGGAGGGAGAUUGCUAGUAAAGCGGCUGGAAUGGCGAACCCGAGCACAAGGAGAUGAAAAAUGAGGACAAAUUGCAAGCUGUACGGAACGGGAGGUUAAAGGUGCUGAUUCUCCAAGGAGGGAGAUUGCUAGUAAAGCGGCUGGAAUGGCGAACCCGAGCACAAGGAGAUGAGAAAUGAGGACAAAUUGCAAGCUGUACGGAACGGGAGGUUAAAGGUGCUGAUUCUCCAAGGAGGGAGAUUGCUAGUAAAGCGGCUGGAAUGGCGAACCCGAGCACAAGGAGAUGAGA